rnacentral:rRNA from 1 species
AUUGAACGCUGGCGGCAUGCUUUACACAUGCAAGUCGAACGGCAGCGCGGGCUUCGGCUUGGCGGCGAGUGGCGAACGGGUGAGUAAUACAUCGGAACGUGCCCAGUAGUGGGGGAUAGCUCGGCGAAAGCCGGAUUAAUACCGCAUACGACCUGAGGGUGAAAGCGGGGGAUCUUCGGACCUCGCGCUAUUGGAGCGGCCGAUGGCAGAUUAGCUAGUUGGUGGGGUAAAGGCCUACCAAGGCGACGAUCUGUAGCUGGUCUGAGAGGACGACCAGCCACACUGGGACUGAGACACGGCCCAGACUCCUACGGGAGGCGGCAGUGGGGAAUUUUGGACAAUGGGCGAAAGCCUGAUCCAGCAAUGCCGCGUGUGUGAUGAAGGCCUUCGGGUUGUAAAGCACUUUUGGCGGGAACGAAAAGGACUGUGCCAAUACCACGGUUCGAUGACGGUACCCGCAGAAUAAGCACCGGCUAACUACGUG